rnacentral:misc_RNA from 1 species
GGCUGGACCUGUGGCUUGUUGGAUGUCUGAUGCGACUCUAUUGUACUCUAGUAGGUCAUACACUUCGUGAGUUCCAACGCCGGAGUAACUUUAUAUAUCGAAAGUCAACAGCUAUGUAACCAAAUCCGCAAAAAUGUCGAAGAUAGUUCAUCUUAUAAAACCAAAACCAUCUUAACCUGUAAUCUUUAACUGCGAUAAGCUAUUGGGUUUCUAAGAUACAACAAUGUUCUGAUUUCGCUAAUUUGACAUAUUUUGUAGAUUUGGACAUUUUUCUACUCAAGCUCUAAAACUUGUGCUGUAAAUGAGCUCACGUCGUGGUUGCACUUGUUAUGUGGUUCCAUUUUCGUCCCGGUUGCAGCUUCAGGUUUCUGGUGCGUUGUAUUGCUUAGUUUGUCUCCGGGCCGCCUGCUCUAGGUUAGAUCGGCUGAGACCGCUACACCAGUCUCAGCGAUGUCCUGCUCUUUGUUCGACGUCAACGCGCCUUGUGUCUCCCCGUACGCUUUUAUCACUAACAAACCUUCCGAGUAUCGCAUAGCACAGGCGCUUUGAGCGAUACGGUUCCAAGUGCAUUCAAGUUUUGUGGCUAAUGACAACUUUUUACUAUAGAUGUAAUGUACAAUUUUAUUCACAUCUUCAUGCUAUCCAAUUUCCAUUUCCGUUUCGUGACGGUUUACGUAUCCUUGUGUGACGUCGACGUUACCUUGUUUGUUGUUGACGUCCUCAUACGUGACGUUUACUUCCUCACGUGUAAUUUUGAUGUCCUCGCGUGUAACGUUGUCGUCCUCAAGUGUGACGUUGACGUCCAUAUGUGCAACGCUGACGUA